CUACGGCCGGGCUUACAAUGCAGUCGAACGGUGAACACGGAGCUUGCUCUGUGGGAUCAGUGGCGAACGGGUGAGUAACACGUGAGCAACCUGCCCCUGACUCUGGGAUAAGCGCUGGAAACGGCGUCUAAUACUGGAUAUGUGACGUGACCGCAUGGUCUGCGUUUGGAAAGAUUUUUCGGUUGGGGAUGGGCUCGCGGCCUAUCAGCUUGUUGGUGAGGUAAUGGCUCACCAAGGCGUCGACGGGUAGCCGGCCUGAGAGGGUGACCGGCCACACUGGGACUGAGACACGGCCCAGACUCCUACGGGAGGCAGCAGUGGGGAAUAUUGCACAAUGGGCGAAAGCCUGAUGCAGCAACGCCGCGUGAGGGAUGACGGCCUUCGGGUUGUAAACCUCUUUUAGCAGGGAAGAAGCGAAAGUGACGGUACCUGCAGAAAAAGCGCCGGCUAACUACGUGCCAGCAGCCGCGGUAAUACGUAGGGCGCAAGCGUUAUCCGGAAUUAUUGGGCGUAAAGAGCUCGUAGGCGGUUUGUCGCGUCUGCUGUGAAAUCCCGAGGCUCAACCUCGGGCCUGCAGUGGGUACGGGCAGACUAGAGUGCGGUAGGGGAGAUUGGAAUUCCUGGUGUAGCGGUGGAAUGCGCAGAUAUCAGGAGGAACACCGAUGGCGAAGGCAGAUCUCUGGGCCGUAACUGACGCUGAGGAGCGAAAGGGUGGGGAGCAAACAGGCUUAGAUACCCUGGUAGUCCACCCCGUAAACGUUGGGAACUAGUUGUGGGGUCCAUUCCACGGAUUCCGUGACGCAGCUACGCAUUAAGUUCCCCGCCUGGGGAGUACGGCCGCAAGGCUAAAACUCAAGGAAUUGACGGGGACCCGCACAAGCGGCGGAGCAUGCGGAUUAAUUCGAUGCAACGCGAAGAACCUUACCAAGGCUUGACAUAUACAGAACGGGCCAGAAAUGGUCAACUCUUUGGACACUCGUAAACAGGUGGUGCAUGGUUGUCGUCAGCUCGUGUCGUGAGAUGUUGGGUUAAGUCCCGCAACGAGCGCAACCCUCGUCUAUGGUUGCCAGCACGUUAUUGUGGGAACUCAUGGAUACUGCCGAUCAACUCGAGGAAGGUUGGGAAUGACGGUCCGAAAUUCAUCAUUGGCCCCCCAUAAAG
rnacentral:rRNA from 1 species